ACUGAUGGUACUGGGAUUGGCUCUUUCACAGCAUCUAGGGAAGGAGGUUUCGUCAACGCAUCAGCUUUGUCAUCCACUUUCUGCUCGACAACCUGAACUGUAGCGCCAAGUUUAUUAUCAGAGACUGAUGUCACUUCUAAAUUACCGGCAUGUACAGGCUUUCUUUUAACCGGUUCAAUUGCCAGUGGUUUUGGAGAAGUUGGAACAGGGUCUGCAGGAGUGAUAGAUGGUGUUGUGGUGGUUGUAAUAGAAACGGAUGCUUUGUCAUUUUCCUUAUGUUUCGAAGAUGAAGACUUAGACUUUUUAUGAUGAUGAUGCUUGUGAUGUGAACUUUUCUGUUUAUGUUGUUGAGCUUUAUAAAUUUUAGUUGUACGAAUCUCAGAAAUAACCCGGUUAGCCAUCUCCAUAGACAUACCACAGAAAUCCGGAACAAGAUGAACACACUGAGCGUGCGCAGUUAUUCCACACUCCGUACAUUUCCUGGCAGUUUUUCUUCCUAAAGGAAGGAUGUAGCCACAGUGACAGCACCAAUUAGCACCUAUGUUUGUGUGAG